AGAACGAACGCUGGCGGCAUGCCUAACACAUGCAAGUCGAACGGGACCGCUGACUUCGGUUGGCGCGUCUAGUGGCGCACGGGUGCGUAACGCGUGGGAAUCUGCCCUCAGGUACGGAAUAACUCAGGGAAACUUGAGCUAAUACCGUAUAAUGACUUCGGUCCAAAGAUUUAUCGCCUGAGGAUGAGCCCGCGUAGGAUUAGCUUGUUGGUGAGGUAAAAGCUCACCAAGGCGACGAUCCUUAGCUGGUCUGAGAGGAUGAUCAGCCACACUGGGACUGAGACACGGCCCAGACUCCUACGGGAGGCAGCAGUGGGGAAUAUUGGACAAUGGGCGAAAGCCUGAUCCGGCAAUGCCGCGUGAGUGAUGAAGGCCUUAGGGUUGUAAAGCUCUUUUACCCGGGAUGAUAAUGACAGUACCGGAGAAUAAGCUCGGCUAACUCCGCGCCAGCAGCCGCGGUAA
rnacentral:rRNA from 1 species